AUUGAACGCUGGCGGCAGGCUUAACACAUGCAAGUCGAGCGAGCGGCGGACGGGUGAGUAAUGUCUGGGAAACUGCCUGAUGGAGGGGGAUAACUACUGGAAACGGUAGCUAAUACCGCAUACCAUCAGAUGUGCCCAGAUGGGAUUAGCUAGUAGGUGGGUUAAUGGCUCACCUAGGCGACGACCCCUAGCUGGUCUGAGAGGAUGACCGGCCACACGGGAACAUAGAAACGGUGCAGACGCCUACGGGAGGCAGCAGUGGGGAAUAUUGCACAAUGGGAGCAAGCCUGAUGCAGCCAUGCCGCGUGGGUGAAGAAGGCCUUCGGGUUGUAGAGCACUUUCAGCGAGGAGGCGUUACGCGCAGAAGAAGCACCGGCUAACUCCGUGCCAGCCGCCGCGGUAAUUC
rnacentral:rRNA from 1 species